rnacentral:rRNA from 1 species
GCUAAACGCGUGCCAGGAGCCGCGGUAGUACGUAGGGGUCAAGCGUUAAUCGGAAUUACUGGGCGUAAAGCGGGCGCAGGCGGCGUAUUAAGUCAGAUGUGAAAUCCCUAGGCUCAACCUAGGAACUGCAUUUGAAACUAAUAAACUAGAGUGUCGUAGAGGGAGGUAGAAUUCCAGGUGUAGCGGUGAAAUGCGUAGAUAUCUGGAGGAAUACCAGUGGCGAAGGCGACCUCCUGGACGAAAACUGACGCUCAAGCACGAAAGCAUGGGGAGCAAACAGGAUUAGAUACCCUAGUAGUC